AGCGAACGCUGGCGGCAGGCCUAACACAUGCAAGUCGAACGAACCUUUCGGGGUUAGUGGCGGACGGGUGAGUAACACGUGGGAACGUGCCUUUAGGUUCGGAAUAACUCAGGGAAACUUGUGCUAAUACCGAAUGUGCCCUUCGGGGGAAAGAUUAAUCGCCUUUAGAGCGGCCCGCGUCUGUUUAGCUAGUUGGUUGAGGUAAUGGCUCACCAAGGCGACGAUCAGUAGCUGGUCUGAGAGGAUGAUCAGCCACAUUGGGACUGAGACACGGCCCAAACUCCUACGGGAGGCAGCAGUGGGGAAUCUUGCGCAAUGGGCGAAAGCCUGACGCAGCCAUGCCGCGUGAAUGAUGAAGGUCUUAGGAUUGUAAAAUUCUUUCACCGGGGACGAUAAUGACGGUACCCGGAGAAGAAGCCCCGGCUAACUUCGUG
rnacentral:rRNA from 1 species